CCUACGGGGGGCAGCAGUGGGGAAUAUUGGACAAUGGGGGGAACCCUGAUCCAGCCAUGCCGCGUGUGUGAAGAAGGCCCUCGGGUUGUAAAGCACUUUCAGUGAGGAAGAACGCCUGGUGGUUAAUACCCAUCAGGAAAGACAUCACUCACAGAAGAAGCACCGGCUAACUCCGUGCCAGCAGCCGCGGUAAUACGGAGGGUGCGAGCGUUAAUCGGAAUUACUGGGCGUAAAGCGCGCGUAGGUGGCUUGAUAAGCCGGUUGUGAAAGCCCCGGGCUCAACCUGGGAACGGCAUCCGGAACUGUCAAGCUAGAGUGCAGGAGAGGAAGGUAGAAGUCCCGGUGUAGCGGUGAAAUGCGUAGAGAUCGGGAGGAAUACCAGUGGCGAAGGCGGCCUUCUGGACUGACACUGACACUGAGGUGCGAAAGCGUGGGUAGCAAACAGGAUUAGAUACCCGAGUAGUC
rnacentral:rRNA from 1 species